rnacentral:rRNA from 1 species
UGGAGGUUGUGCCCUUGAGGUGUGGCUUCCGGAGCUAACGCGUUAAGUCGACCGCCUGGGGAGUACGGCCGCAAGGUUAAAACUCAAAUGAAUUGACGGGGGCCCGCACAAGCGGUGGAGCAUGUGGUUUAAUUCGAUGCAACGCGAAGAACCUUACCUGGUCUUGACAUCCACGGAAGUUUUCAGAGAUGAGAAUGUGCCUUCGGGAACCGUGAGACAGGUGCUGCAUGGCUGUCGUCAGCUCGUGUUGUGAAAUGUUGGGUUAAGUCCCGCAACGAGCGCAACCCUUAUCCUUUGUUGCCAGCGGUCCGGCCGGGAACUCAAAGGAGACUGCCAGUGAUAAACUGGAGGAAGGUGGGGAUGACGUCAAGUCAUCAUGGCCCUUACGACCAGGGCUACACACGUGCUACAAUGGCGCAUACAAAGAGAAGCGACCUCGCGAGAGCAAGCGGACCUCAUAAAGUGCGUCGUAGUCCGGAUUGGAGUCUGCAACUCGACUCCAUGAAGUCGGAAUCGCUAGUAAUCGUGGAUCAGAAUGCCACGGUGAAUACGUUCCCGGGCCUUGUACACACCGCCCGUCACACCAUGGGAGUGGGUUGCAAAAGAAGUAGGUAGCUUAACCUUCGGGAGGGCGCUUACCACUUUGUGAUUCAUGACUGGGGUGAAGUCGUAACAAGGUAACCGUAGGGGAACCUGCGGUUGG